CGGGGUAUAGCGCAGUUGGUAGCGCGCUGCGUUCGGGACGCAGAGGCCCUGGGUUCAAGUCCCAGUACUCCGACCA
rnacentral:tRNA from 3 species